GCUGCUGCACCUAAACAAUUCUCAUCUUCUUCAACCUGCAAUGAGUUAAUUUGUUUUCAUUGCCAUCUUGUCCUUCACCAUAGUUAUUCUCUCUCCACGGAUUACUGUUCGACAAGUUGGUUGGCACAACAUGUGCAUGAGAGGAAAGAUCCACACCAUCACAGUUUAGUUGUUGACUGACAAAACUCAACAUAUGUUCGAUAUUGACUAUUAGAAGGACUCGAGCCUCGAAUCUCAGUAGACUUACUGAAUGAGCAAUGACAUCGGGAGGGAAGAAUUCAGCGGAUGUGCUUCUCUGCAACAAGGAGAAAGAACAGAAGAAAUGUUAUCCUGGCUGCUUCUAAAGCACUUCCAUAUAGCCAGUUAUACAGUGAAGUUGGUAAAGGCUUGAGAACAUGUCAACUGUGUACAAUCUAGUUAGAAAUUAAUGAAUGGUACAGAACAAUAAAAGGGAAAAUGAUGUACA